AGUGAACGCUGGCGGUAGGCCUAACACAUGCAAGUCGAACGGCAGCACAGUAAGAGUUUGCUCUUACGGGUGGCGAGUGGCGGACGGGUGAGGAAUACAUCGGAAUCUACUUUUUCGUGGGGGAUAACGGAGGGAAACUGACGCUAAUACCGCAUACGACCUACGGGUGAAAGCAGGGGUUCUUCGGACCUUGCGCGACUGAAUGAGCCGAUGUCGGAUUAGCUAGUUGGCGGGGUAAAGGCCCACCAAGGCGACGCUCCGUAGCUGGCCUGAGAGGAUGAUCAGCCACACUGGAACUGAGACACGGUCCAGACUCCUACGGGAGGCAGCAGUGGGGAAUAUUGGACAAUGGGCGCAAGCCUGAUCCAGCCAUGCCGCGUGGGUGAAGAAGGCCUUCGGGUUGUAAAGCCCUUUUGUUGGGAAAGAAAAGCAGCAGGUUAAUCCCCCGCUGUUCUGACGGUACCCAAAGAAUAAGCACCGGCUAACUUCGUG
rnacentral:rRNA from 1 species